AACGAACGCUGGCGGCGUGCCUAAUACAUGCAAGUCGAACGAGAAAGCGGGGCAACUCGUGAGUAAAGUGGCAGACGGGUGAGUAAUACAUAGGUAAUCUUCCCUCAGAAUGGGGAUAACCUUCCGAAAGGAGGGCUAAUACCGAAUAAGACCACAGUAACAAAAGUUACAGGGGUUAAACGUGGCCUCUAUUUAUAAGCUACGGACUGAGGAUGAGCUUAUGCACCAUCAGCUAGUUGGUAGGGUAACG
rnacentral:rRNA from 1 species